CCAGUGUUAACGGACAGCAACUGUAGGGACUCUUCAAGGGGAAGGUUUUCAUUAAAAAUCCCUAUGGUCAUGCUUUUGUGAUAAAUAUUUGAGGUAUAGCAUCUAUGAAAGCACACCCAUUUACACAUGCAUUUGGGUUGCUGAACUCCUGAGAAACCCCAUUCUGGGGAGCUCUACGUGAAGACCUCGACAUUUCCUGUUAGCCCACGGGGCAGCUGAUUUUAACAAAGGCCUCUGUCUGUCUCUGGAGAAUUGACGACAGUGGUGACACAACUGGAUUUCCUCCAAACAUCGCUAUCAGCCACAGGCCGUCAGGAGAAGGAUUGAGUUCCUAAAGGGUAGAGACCUGGAGACACUGAGGCUGGUAUGCGAGAAUUCUACUGGGUAGCGCCUUGAAAACAUCUGUUGUGGAGCCAAAGAGACAGGACUGGGUAGGAAAGGCUACACUGUCAGGUAGUGGCUACAGACACUUCUGACUCCACAGGCGCUCUGAAGCUACAUAGCCCUUCAACACGUUCAAAAUUAAAGAAAUUCAUGAGCCUU